rnacentral:rRNA from 1 species
GACGAACGCUGGCGGCGUGCUUAACACAUGCAAGUCGUACGGUAAGGCCCUUUCGGGGGUACACGAGUGGCGAACGGGUGAGUAACACGUGUGUAACCUUCCCACAACUUUGGGAUAACGCUAGGAAACUGGUGCUAAUACUGGAUAUGUGCUCCUGCUGCAUGGUGGGGGUUGGAAAGCUCCGGCGGUUGUGGAUGGACUCGCGGCCUAUCAGCUUGUUGGUGGGGUAGUGGCCUACCAAGGCGGCGACGGGUAGCCGGCCUGAGAGGGUGACCGGCCACAUUGGGACUGAGAUACGGCCCAGACGCCUACGGGAGGAAGCAGUGGGGAAGAUUGCACAAUGGGCGCAAGCCGGAUGCAGCAGCGCCGCGUGCGGGAGGACGGCCUUCGGGUUGUAAACCGCUUGCAGCAGGGACGAAGCUUGUUGUGACGGUACCUGCAGAAGAAGCACCGGCUAACUACGUG